GAUCAUGGCUCAGGAUGAACGCUGGCGGCGUGCCUAAUACAUGCAAGUGAAACGGGUAUCUUCGGAUACCAGUCGCGGACGGGUGAGUAAUACAUAGGCAACCUGCCUUUAUGAGGGGGAUAACCGAGGGAAACUUUGGCUAAUACCGCAUGAAGACUCUAAGGCAUCUUAGAGGGAUAAAAGUUGGGAAACAACGCAUGAAGAUGGGCUUAUGGCGCAUUAGCUAGUUGGUGAGAUAGGAGCCCACCAAGGUAAUGAUGCGUAGCCGACCUGAGAGGGUGAACGGCCACAUUGGGACUGAGGCACGGCCCAAACUCCUACGGGAGGCAGCAGUAGGGAAUUUUCGGCAAUGGGGGGAACCCUGACCGAGCAACGCCGCGUGAAGGAAGAAGGUUUUCGGAUUGUAAACUUCUGUUAUAAGGGAAGAACGGAUUGGAUAGGGAAUGAUCUGAUAGUGACGGUACCUUAUUAGAAAGCCACGGCUAACUACGUGCCAGCCGCGGC
rnacentral:rRNA from 1 species